AGCAGUGAGGAAUAUUGGUCAAUAGCCUAACGGCUGAACCAGCAACUUGGAGGAAUGUAUAGUGAAAACUACUUGCACAAUAAUUAUUUAGUGUAAGAUCGACUCAGUUGAAUAAAAUUCUGAGUAGAAUUAUGAUUAUGACAUUGUCUACUCACAUGUCUUGACUAAAUUACGUGCCAGCAGUCGCGGUAAUACGUAGAAGACUAGUGUUAUUCAUCUUUAAUUGGUUUAAAGGGUACCUAGACGGCAAAUCAAGCCUUAGUUGGGACUAGUUUGCUAGAGUUUCUUGUGAGGGGGCAUUAAUGUACUAACGGUGUAGAGAUAAAAUGUUGUGAUACCUCUUUUCGAAUGAGGAGAUUUGGCACUGGUAUAGGCGAAAGCAUCCCCUUAUGUGUAAACUGACGUUGAGGGACGAAGGCUUUGUGUCGCGAAUAGGAUUAGAUACCCUAGUAGUCAAAGGAGAAAAUUAUGAAUGUCAUAGAUUAGACAUAUGUUUAGUCUAUAAAUGAAAGUGUAAGCAUUCCACCUCAAGAGUAAUUUGGCAACAUUGGAACUGAAAUCAUUAGACCGUUUCUGAAACCAGUAGUGAAGUAUGUUGUUUAAUUUGAUAAUCCGCAAAAAACCUUACCAUAACUUGAAUAUUUAUAUCUAUGAUAUAUUUACAAGCGUUGCACGGCUGUCUUCAGUUAAUGUCGUGAGACUUUGGUUAGUUCCAUUAAAUUAACGUAAGCCCUUACUUUAUUUUUAAAUAAAGUUGUUCCCCACUAGAUUGGAUAAGAUAACAGGGAUCAAGACAAGUCAUCAUGGCCUGAAUAUUAUGGGCUAUAGACGUGCCACAUAAAGAA
rnacentral:rRNA from 1 species